rnacentral:rRNA from 1 species
CCCCUAGAUGUUCUGGGCCGCACGCGCGCUACACUGACGCAUACAGCGAGCACUUUCCAGUUCCGAGAGGCUACUGGUAAUCAUCAAUAUGCGUCGUGAUGGGGAUAGAUCUUUGGAAUUCUGGAUCUUGAACGAGGAAUGCCUAGUAAUCGCAGGUCAUUAGCCUGCGAUGAUUAAGUCCCUGCCCUUUGUACACACCGCCCGUCGCUACUACCGAUUUCGAGUGGUCAGGUGAAUCUUUCGGACUGUGGGCGCCCUUGAGGUGUUCGCGGAAAGCCAGGUAAAUCUUAUCACUUAGAGGAAGUAAAAGUCGUANCA